UUCCAUGGCAGGCGAUGUGUGGGGAUUUCUCCACUGAAUCCGCCGGUUUUUUCCGUAGUUUCCCGGUGACUGCAACCCGCAUCGCCUGCCACCUCG
rnacentral:antisense_RNA from 1 species